CCUACGGGAGGCAGCAGUGAGGAAUAUUGGUCAAUGGGCGGAAGCCUGAACCAGCCAAGUAGCGUGCAGGAUGACGGCCCUACGGGUUGUAAACUGCUUUUAUACGGGAAUAACGCGCCUUACGUGUAGGGCUUUGCAUGUACCGUAUGAAUAAGGACCGGCUAAUUCCGUGCCAGCAGCCGCGGUAAUACGGAAGGUCCGGGCGUUAUCCGGAUUUAUUGGGUUUAAAGGGAGCGUAGGCCGCAUGUCAAGCGUGCUGUGAAAUGUCCGGGCUCAACCCGGGCCUUGCAGCGCGAACUGGCGUGAGUGAGUCCGCGGAAGGCAGGCGGAAUUCGUCGUGUAGCGGUGAAAUGCUUAGAUAUGACGAAGAACCCCGAUUGCGAAGGCAGCUUGCUGCAGCGGAACUGACGCUGAUGCUCGAAAGCGCGGGUAUCGAACAGGAUUAGAUACCCUGGUAGUC
rnacentral:rRNA from 1 species